CCUACGUGAGGCAGCAGUGAGGAAUAUUGGUCAAUGGGCGCGAGCCUGAACCAGCCAAGUCGCGUGAAGGAUGACUGCCCUACGGGUUGUAAACUUCUUUUAUCAAGGAAUAAAGUCAGGCACGUGUGCCUUUUUGUAUGUACUUUAUGAAUAAGGAUCGGCUAACUCCGUGCCAGCAGCCGCGGUAAUACGGAGGAUCCGAGCGUUAUCCGGAUUUAUUGGGGUUAAAGGGAGCGUAGAUGGGUUGUUAAGUCAGUUGUGAAAGUUUGCGGCUCAACCGUAAAAUUGCAAUUGAUACUGGCAGUCUUGAGUACAGGUGAGGUAGGCGGAAUUCGUGGUGUAGCGGUGAAAUGCUUAGAUAUCACGAAGAACUCCGAUUGCGAAGGCAGCUUACUAAACUGCCACUGACAUUGAUGCUCGAAAGUGUGGGUAUCAAACAGGAUUAGAUACCCUUGUAGUC
rnacentral:rRNA from 1 species